UUUAUUUCAAUUUCAUCCUUUCUUUUCUCCUGUCAAUUCUGUGAAAUUGAAAACCAAAUUUGAAAUUCUCAAAUCCAUUUAACCCUAAAUCUUUCCCCUAUGCUCACAGCGGAGGCGGCUGCUUAGGUACACGAGGGCAUAAAUUUGGUGAUCUCCCGAUGGGCCACUCUUCGAAUGGCCGUCGAGAAUGAGUGGAGCGGUUGUGAUUCUGCCCAGAAAUCCCAACAACUCGCCCCAAGUUAUCUUUCACACCUCAUUCAAUCCAAAGGAAAAGUAUGCAUUGAUGAUUUAGAGAAUAUGCUUAAUGAAUUCAUGCUCUCUCAACACCGAGAUAGGGGAUGGUAGCAUUGAGGAGAUAGUAGAAAAGUUGAUGGUUAUGCAUGAAGAAUGUGUAGAAGGUAAAUUUAACUCAAUUAAAAGCCUUAGACAGGUAACUAUCACUCUCUAGUGAUUGAACAAGUGUUCAUUAUUUGGAUAAAUAUUUUUGCCGUUGAUGAAUCAAGUUUGUUGUUUAUUAAAUAACAACGUUGGAAUGUUUUCUAAGAAGAAAGGAUAAAUAUAUGAGCAUGUUUUCGAAUGUGAUGUAAAUAUUGAUUAUAAAAGUUUGAUCUAUAUCUAGUCAUUAGUCAAAUAUGAUUGGAGAUUAGUUAGAUGACCGUAUAUACAUUUUUAGCCCUUGUUUGGUAGAAAUCAUUUGCUAUCACUUGAAACCAACCCACAAAUAAGGCCAUGCCAAAUUUA